rnacentral:tRNA from 1 species
GGGCGAUUAGCUCAGUUGGUAGAGCAUCUCCUUUACACGGAGGGGGUUCAUCAGUUCGAAUCCUGGUAUCCGCCCA